AAGGCUUCACCAAGAGUCUUAAUGCCUUCAACGUAGGCGAUGACUGCCCAGUGUUUCCCGGGCUCUUUGAGUUCUGCUCGCGUUACACAGGCGCAUCUCUGCAAGGAGCAACCCAGCUGAACAACAAGGUGACAUAGUCCCGAGUCCUGUUCCUCCUUUCCUCUGGCUCCCUGGACUCGGGAUUUAACCCUGAUCCUGGGCUCCCAGCUUGAGGGGUGGGCAGGAAGGACUGUGACUUGGGUGUUUGUCUUUCAGAUCUGUGAUAUUGCCAUUAACUGGGCUGGUGGUCUGCACCAUGCCAAGAAGUUUGAGGUGAGUGAGGAGGUGAUGGGAAAGACAGUGGCCAUCCUCGGGUAGGUGUUGAGGAUGAUGGUGGGGGGCAGCUGGGUAGGGGAAUUGCUCUUCUCUUUAUGAGACCACUGUCUUGCCAUAGGCCUCUGGCUUCUGCUAUGUCAACGACAUUGUGAUUGGCAUCCUGGAGCUGCUCAAGUACCACCCUCGGGUGCUCUACAUUGACAUUGACAUCCACC
rnacentral:sRNA from 1 species